UGAUGAAAACCAGCCCAGACCUGAUCCUGCAGCUCUGCAGAGGAGCACAGACCUGGAGGUCCAGGUGUUUCCACUCAGUGAUCAGCAUUGAGCACAGACAGCUCACCAUGGAGUUUAAAAUGUGCUGGGUUUUCCUCCUUUUUAUUUUAAAGGGUGUCCAGGCUGAGGUACAGCUCGUGGAGGCUGGGGGAGGCUUGGUGCAGCCUGGAGGUUCCCUGAGACUCUCUUGCGUGGCCUCGGGAUUCACUUUCAGUAAUUACUACAUGCACUGGAUCCGCCAGGCUCCAGGAAAGGGGCCGGAGUGGCUCACAUACAUCAGUGGUGAUAGUAGUUAUAUAAAGUACGCAGACUCCGUGAAGGGCCGAUUCACCACCUCCAGGGACAACGGCAAGAACACGCUGUAUCUGCAGAUGAGCAGCCUGAGAACCGAGGACACGGCCGUGUAUUACUGUGCUAGAGACACAGUAAGAGAAUGUCACUGUCAGCCCAGACACAAACCUCCCUGCAGGGGCACUUACUUCCAGCAGGGGGAGCCGGGGAUUCACUAACUGAGACCAGGCCUU